rnacentral:rRNA from 1 species
GCCUACGGGACGCAGCAGUAGGGAAUCUUCCACAAUGGACGAAAGUCUGAUGGAGCAACGCCGCGUGAGUGAAGAAGGGUUUCGGCUCGUAAAGCUCUGUUGGUAGUGAAGAAAGAUAGAGGGAGUAACUGGCCUUUAUUUGACGGUAAUUACUUAGAAAGUCACGGCUAACUACGUGCCAGCAGCCGCGGGAAAACGUAGGGGGCAAGCGUUGUCCGGAUUUAUUGGGCGUAAAGCGAGUGCAGGCGGUUUAAAA